AUGCUGCCCCAUCUGGCAGCCAAGGCGGCUGCUGAAGCCCCUGCAAGGGAGGGAAGUUCCUGGAACACGUUUAAAAAAAUAUUCUCAGGAAUAUUCUCUCUCCUCCCUCCCCCCUCCUCUUCUCAGGGGCUCUUGGUUGGGAGGGAAGGGAAGGGAGUCCCCCCCACACACACACCGGAACUUCUCCUUCCCCCUCCUCAUCUCUUGACCCUCCAUCCAGGUGAGAAAGAGGGGAGGGGGCCCCAUUCGAUAGGAGCACGAGGAAGGCACCUCCCGCAAGGAAAGAUUUUUUUUUUAAAAAAUUGCUUUAUGCAUAAAAGCCUCCCGGCUGAUCUUUUCUGUUUUUCUUUCCUUCUAGGAAGCGGCGAGACUGAGUUGAUGUCUCUUUGCUUUAUUUUGGGACCAAAAACAAAGAACCAAAUCCCAGAUCCCUCCAAACAUCAUUUCCCAGACAAGCCAGGCUGGGGGAUUUUGUGCUUUGGACUCUUAUGACAAUAGAAUAACAGGUAAGGUCAUUUUUGUUCCCACCUUCUCCUUCAAUGUCACUCUCCAGAUGGGUCCAUGCACAGACAGUCUCAAGAAUAGACUACUGUAAUCCUCUUUCUGUGAGGCUUCCUUUGAGGCUGACACCGGACUCUCCCCCUCCUGUCGUCUCCUCUGGGAAGGUGAUUCCACACCCCCACGUGGGGGAAGGUUCUUCCGUUUCACAUUCUCUCUUUUCUCCUCUUUCUAUUUGUGUCCACUCUUCCCUUAUCUUUCGGCUCCAUCCUCCUUUGCUGGCUGAGCGAGGGUUCCUUCCCCUUUCUGCCUCUUCUCUCGGUAUCAUCAACCUCUCCCAGAUAGGAAUUCAUGGGUUCUCCAUCCAAAAACCUUCCCACCCAUCUAGGAAUACCUUACUCUCUUCAUCUGAUUUUGGUAUUGCCCACCUGGUGAUGCCCACCUGGUGAUGUCCAUCUGUUGGAAAAGGGUAUUUGUGAUGACAAGCUUGUUCUCUUGACAAAACUCUAUUAGCCUUUGCCCUGCUUUGUUUUGAACUCCAAGGUCAAAUUUCCCUGUUGUUCCUUUUAUCUCUUGGCUCCCAACUUUAACAUUCCAGUCCCCUAUGAUUAGAAGAACAUCUUUCUUUGGUGUCCGUUCUGGAAGGUGUUGUAGGUCUCCAUAGAAUUGGUCAAUUUCAGCCUCCUCAGCAAUGGUGGUUGGUGCAUAAACUUGGAUUACUGUGAUGUUGAAAGGUCUGCCUUGGAUUUGUAUUGAAAUCAUUUUUUUCAUUUUUGAGAUUGUAUGUCAGUACAG
rnacentral:lncRNA from 1 species